UGCAGAGCUAUGUAGAUAGAUUAUAGAUAUUUCGCUGCUCUCUUACCUUUACCAAUGUUUAUUUUCCAGUUCAUUACAUAUUUAUUAUAAACUCAACAUCAUAGAAUAUAUCCAUUGACAUUUUAGUGGAAGACAAGCAGCUGCACUGAAGAUUUGAAGCUGAGUAUAGCAUGCAGUGGAUAUAUUCUCCAGUAUUUGAUUCCCAUGGCCACACUUUCUUUACUAAAAGAGAGGACUUGAACUACAAAUGGCAUGGUACACCUUUCAAAUCCCUACAAAGGCAGCAUGAAGAAGCUCUGCAGCAAAUCUUGUUUAAUUGUGUUUUGUUUCUUGUGAAAUAGACAAAUGAGAAAGCACUGGGAUCUAACUCUAGAAUAUAAAGAUGUCUGCACACUGUCGUGGAAGAUUUUGAUAUCUUUGAUCAUCAGUUACAACUAGAGUUAUUGA